rnacentral:lncRNA from 1 species
CCAGCGAGACCACGAACCCACCGGAAGGAAGAAACUCUGAACACAUCCGAACAUCAGAAGGAACAAACUCCGGACACGCCGCCUUUAAGAACUGUUAACACUCACCGCAAGGGUCCGCGGCUUCGUUCUUGAAGUCAGUGAGACCAAGAACCCACCAAUUCCGGACACAAGGGGAGCUGACUUUCAUUAUAAAGAUUUUCUCAUUGCAAAGUGAAAAAGAGAAUAAUAACUUUAAAACAAGGCAGAAAGUAAAGAGAACUGGAAGCGAGGAACAUGCUCUGAACUAGAACUGGCAACAUGAGAGAUGAGCUCAGGCUUCAAAAUGGUGUCUGCACUGGGUCUUGAAGGAAGAGCAGAGUUUGGGCAUUUAGAAACCAAGAAUUCCAGGUCUCCCUGUUUUACUAACUU